GAUGAACGCUAGCUACAGGCUUAACACAUGCAAGUCGAGGGGAAACGAUAGAGAAAGCUUGCUUUUUCUAGGCGUCGACCGGCGCACGGGUGAGUAACGCGUAUCCAACCUGCCCAUCACUUGGGGAUAACCUUGCGAAAGUAAGACUAAUACCCAAUGACGUCUCUAGAAGACAUCUGAAAGAGAUUAAAGAUUUAUCGGUGAUGGAUGGGGAUGCGUCUGAUUAGCUUGUUGGCGGGGUAACGGCCCACCAAGGCGACGAUCAGUAGGGGUUCUGAGAGGAAGGGCCCCCACAUUGGAACUGAGACACGGUCCAAACUCCUACGGGAGGCAGCAGUGGGGAAUAUUGGUCAAUGGGCGAGAGCGUGAACCAGCCAAGUAGCGUGCAGGAUGACGGCCCUAUGGGUUGUAAACUGCUUUUAUAAGGGAAUAAAGUGAGUCUCGUGAGACUUUUUGCAUGUACCUUAUGAAUAAGGACCGGCUAAUUCCGUGCCAGCAGCCGCGGUAA
rnacentral:rRNA from 1 species